CUCCAAUCAGGCUGGCUGCAGUCGUAACACUGAUCCCCCCGUUGAUGCUCCUGACCCUGACUGUGAUCUGGUCUUUGCUCCAGCUAUCGCUCCAGAGACUGUUGAGGGGUUUCUACGAGAUCUCCAGCAGUCUCUGAGCGAUACUACAGGAGAUGAGGUGGUAGCACAAACCCCAAGUG